GAUGAACGCUGGCGGCGUGCCUAACACAUGCAAGUCGAGCGAAGAACUUCGGUUCUUAGCGGCGGACGGGUGAGUAACACGUGGGUAACCUGCCUCAAAGAGGGGGAUAGCCUCCCGAAAGGGAGAUUAGUACCGCAUAAUAUUAGAUCUUCGCAUGGAGAUUUAAUUAAAGGAGCAAUCCGCUUUGAGAUGGACCCGCGGCGCAUUAGCUAGUUGGUGAGGUAACGGCUCACCAAGGCGACGAUGCGUAGCCGACCUGAGAGGGUGAUCGGCCACAUUGGAACUGAGACACGGUCCAGACUCCUACGGGAGGCAGCAGUGGGGAAUAUUGCACAAUGGGCGAAAGCUUGAUGCAGCAACGCCGCGUGAGUGAUGAAGGCCUUCGGGUUGUAAAACUCUGUCUUUGGGGACGAUAAUGACGGUACCCAAGGAGGAAGCCACGGCUAACUACGUGCCAGCAGCCGCAGUAA
rnacentral:rRNA from 1 species